rnacentral:rRNA from 5 species
UUCAGUGACGAUGGCAAAGAGGUCACACCCGUUCCCAUACCGAACACGGAAGUUAAGCUCUUUAGCGCCGAUGGUAGUUGGGGGUUUCCCCCUGUGAGAGUAGGACGUCGCUGGUC